rnacentral:lncRNA from 1 species
UUGUCUGAAGGUUACUUCUCAAGUUCGUGCAUUUUCUCAGCGAUGUGCAUUCAAAUUAGGUGCUGGUGAUACAAGGGUGAAGCUGGCAGUAGAAGAUUCCUCCCGUCUCAGUCCUCGCCUUCAGAGGGAGGAAGAGAGACAACAAACAAGUGAACAAAAGACAAUGGCAGAACUCCAAGAUGAAAUGAGGUUAAGACAGAUCUAUGGCGAUGGGAGUGAUGGUUGGGUGUGAAGCGGGAGCGGAGGUUGUGAAUGACACUUUCAUAUAAACACAUGGACCUUUAACACAACUGCACACAUUUUCUUUCUUCAGUCAUUCUAGGAUGGGAACUGGCAGGCGUACUUCUCAUGUUCUUUUCUGUACCAAAUUAGAAUGUGCCCCUAGGACUAAAGGAAAUAGAGCUGGGGAGCCUGGUAGUUAAAAGCCAGUAAGAAUCAUUAUUUCUGCCUCACUGGUCAGGCAUAUUUUGGGCAAAUGAGUCAGCGCAGUGUGAGAGGGAUGUUUGGGCUAGACUUUAUCAGCAGUUACAUACAUUUUCCAGAGUUACUAAAAGCUGUCCAGGCUGGUUAUUUAGAGCUCUGGGGAAGAGCAGGGCAGAGGAGGUGAGGGAACAGAGUGUAUUUUGCGAUUGGGACAUCUCAGAUUGGGCAAGCUCUCUGUUCUAGCUCUCUCUGAAAUGCUCUCUUUAUGGGGUUUAUACUACCACUGUAUAAAUUGCUCAAAUUGGCCAGAACCCCUGGGUUCUCAAGUCUGGAACAUCUGACAAAGAUUCCAGCCUGUCAAGCCAUUCUUCCAUAUCAUAUCGGUUUCUCGGUGCAUUUGCCAGAUGGGGGGAUCUAGCAUUUUGAAGACACACAAUUUAGCAGACAUUCAAAUUCGCUGAACAGAUGAAUUCAGAGGGGAGGUGGAGAUCUCAGAUGGAAGAGAUGUUCGAGGAAGAAACUGCAUGGAGGCCUGAAACGCAUGGUGAGUAACAGGGUUGGCUGAAUUGGGGCAGAGAACAGCCUGGAACGUUGUUGAAACCCAGAAGAAUGCGUUAAUCUUUGAAGAAACACUCACCUGUGGUUCAAUGCUCUUAAAAAAUUAGUUUUGAAGCACAUAUACACCCUUGGAAAUAAAAGCAGACAAAUUCUUGGGGCGCCUGGGUGG